rnacentral:lncRNA from 1 species
UAAGAUCAAAGGUUCAUUCAUUGGUAUUUGAGGUUUAAAUCUGUUGUAGGAAUUAUUAGGAUUUGGUUUAGGAUUUAGAAACUGAUUAGGAUUUGAUUUAGGAUAUAGAAUUUGGUUUAGGAUUAAAAAUUUGAUUAGGGUUUAGGAUUUGGUUUAAGAUUUAGAGUAUGGAUAGGGUUUGAUUUAGGGUUUAGGAUUUGAUUAGGGUUUGAUUUAAGAUUUAAGAUUUGAUUUAGGAUUUAAGAUUUGAUUAAUAUUUGAUUUAGGAUUUUGUUAGGAUUUGAUUUAGAAUUUAGGAUUUGAUUUAGCAUUUGAUUUAGGAUUUAGGAUUUAAUUUAGGGUUUAGAAUUUAUUUAGGGUUUGAUUUAGGAUUAGGAUUCAAUUAGGAUUUGAUUUAGGAUUUAAGGUUUGAUUAGAGUUUAUUUAAGAUUUAAGAUUUAAUUAGUUUUGGCCUAAAAUUUGAAUGAAGUCCAAUAGGAUUUUAACUAGGAUUAAUUUAAGAUUGAAUUGAGAUGUAUUUGAGAUAUAAUUGUGAUUAUUCUAAUAUUUCUUUAAAAAAAUUUAUUAUUUAUUUGUAAUUUUUUUGAAGUUUCUUUGAAUUUGAUUAGAGCUUACUUAGCAUUGUUAUGGUCUAAUUAGAGUUUAGUUAGUGUUCUAUUAGAGUUAGGAUUUUAUUGUUGCAAUUUCUAUUCUACCUUCUAUAACUAAGUACGCAAAGCAUUCUCAAGCAAGACUUCACAUAUUGUGACAUAUAAUUGGUGAACCCGAUGUCAAAGCUUGACGUGAAAGGUGUUGUGUUUUAUUGGUGGUUAUUAAAAUUGAUCAUCCAUUUGAUGGAAAGAAGAUUGAUUUUGGAGCUUUUUGAGUUUUUGGAGCUUUACAAAUUAUCUUGAAAUACAAUGGAAGUAUUUGGAUUAUCAUGGAAUAUAAUAGGACUUUAUAGAAAUGAUGGAGUAUUUUGAAGUAUCAUAAGAUAUUUAUUGGAGCAUUUCAAGGAACAUUUUUUAUCACUAUAGAACUAAAUGGAAGAUUUAUCAUCUAGAUCUUUGGAUAGGUCAAAUAUUUUGGAUGGGUCAAAUAUUAGUGAGUUUUUUAAGGCUCACUAU